UCCGGGUUGAGCCUGCCAGAGGUUACUGCUAUCGGUGUUCGACUAAGCCAUGCGAGUCAUAUGUGUUUCCUGAUCCUGUGGGACUGCUCAGUAAGACGUGGAUAACCUGCCCUUAGGUUUGGCAUAACUCCGGGAAACUGGAGAUAAUUCCGAAUAGGUCAAAUAUGCUGGAAUGCUUUUUGACCAAAAGACCUCGGUUGCCUAAGGAUGGAUCUGCGGUCUAUCAGGUAGUAGUGGGUGUAACGUACCUACUAGCCUACGACGGAUAUGGGUUGUGAGAGCAAGAGCCCAGAGAUGGAUUCUGAGACAUGAAUCCAGGCCCUACGGGGCGCAGCAGGCGCGAAAACUUUACAAUGCGGGAAACCGCGAUAAGGGGACACCGAGUGCCAGCAUUUAUGUUGGCUGUCCACAUGUGUAAACGGCAUGUGUUAGCAAGGGCCGGGCAAGACCGGUGCCAGCCGCCGCGGUAACACCGGCGGCCCGAGUGGUAAUCACUUUUAUUGGGUCUAAAGGGUCCGUAGCCGGUUUGAUCAGUUCUUCGGGAAAUCUGACAGCUCAACUGUUAGGCUUCCGGGGAAUACUGUCAGACUUGGGACCGGGAGAGGUAAGAGGUACUACAGGGGUAGGAGUG
rnacentral:rRNA from 1 species